AUUGAACGCUGGCGGCAUGCCUCACACAUGCAAGUCGAACGGUAACGGGCCUUCGGGUGCCGACGAGUGGCGAACGGGUGAGUAAUGCAUCGGAACGUACCUUUCAGUGGGGGAUAACGUAGCGAAAGUUACGCUAAUACCGCAUAUUCUGUGAGCAGGAAAGCAGGGGAUCGCAAGACCUUGCGCUGAUUGAGCGGCCGAUGUCAGAUUAGCUAGUUGGUGAGGUAAAGGCUCACCAAGGCGACGAUCUGUAGCGGGUCUGAGAGGAUGAUCCGCCACACUGGAACUGAGACACGGUCCAGACUCCUACGGGAGGCAGCAGUGGGGAAUUUUGGACAAUGGGGGCAACCCUGAUCCAGCCAUGCCGCGUGAGUGAAGAAGGCCUUCGGGUUGUAAAGCUCUUUCGGCCGGGAAGAAAUCGUAUGGGCUAAUACCCUGUGCGGAUGACGGUACCGGCAUAAGAAGCACCGGCUAACUACGUGCCAGCCGCCGCAGUAAAAC
rnacentral:rRNA from 1 species